GACCCUGGUAGUCCACGCUGUAAACGAUGUCGACUUGGAGGUUGUGCCCUUGAGGCGUGGCUUCCGGAGCUAACGCGUUAAGUCGACCGCCUGGGGAGUACGGCCGCAAGGUUAAAACUCAAAUGAAUUGACGGGGGCCCGCACAAGCGGUGGAGCAUGUGGUUUAAUUCGAUGCAACGCGAAGAACCUUACCUGGCCUUGACAUCCACGGAAUUUAGCAGAGAUGCUUUAGUGCCUUCGGGAACCGUGAGACAGGUGCUGCAUGGCUGUCGUCAGCUCGUGUUGUGAAAUGUUGGGUUAAGUCCCGCAACGAGCGCAACCCUUAUCCUUUGUUGCCAGCGAUUCGGUCGGGAACUCAAAGGAGACUGCCGGUGAUAAACCGGAGGAAGGUGGGGAUGACGUCAAGUCAUCAUGGCCCUUACGGCCAGGGCUACACACGUGCUACAAUGGCGCAUACAAAGAGAAGCGACCUCGCGAGAGCAAGCGGACCUCAUAAAGUGCGUCGUAGUCCGGAUCGGAGUCUGCAACUCGACUCCGUGAAGUCGGAAUCGCUAGUAAUCGUAGAUCAGAAUGCUACGGUGAAUACGUUCCCGGGCCUUGUACACACCGCCCGUCACACCAUGGGAGUGGGUUGCAAAAGAAGUAGGUAGCUUAAC
rnacentral:rRNA from 1 species